ensembl:lncRNA
GCCAUUUCCCUGUGGCACAUUUCUCUGUGGGUGUCACCGUCGUUCCAUUUGGCUGCAGCUGAAAACGUAUGAUCCGGUUGGAACGUUAUUGAAUAUAUAUGAAAAUAACAUCCUGAAGAUUGAUUCUCUACUUAGUUUGACCAGUUUAUUCGACCUGGAAUAUAUCUUUUUGAAGUUUUCGUCCGAGUUUUCCUGGACCAGUGUCAGCUUUUGGGCACGUGAGCUGAAAGUGCUAGCAAAUGCAGCUAAUUGGACACUAGUAUUGGACAUUAUGGAACAAAACAAUGAUUUAUUGUGGAACUAGGACUCCUUGCACUGCAUUCUGAUGAAAGAUCAUCAAAGGUAAGGGAAUAUUUAUGAUGUAAUUUCGUAUUUCUGUUGACUCCAACAUGGCUGAGAAAUAUAUAUAUGUCUGACACAGCGGUUGCAUUAAGAACCUUUAAUUAUAUGUAGAACAUGUAUCUUUAGUCAAAGUUUAUGAUGAGUAUUUCUGUUAUCUGGCGUAGCUUUCUAUAAUUCCUCCGGAUAUUUUGGAGGCAUUUCUGAACAUGGUGUCAAUGUAAACGGAGAUUUGUGGAUAUAAAUAUGGAUAUUAUCGAACAAAACAUAAAUAUAUUGUGUAACAUGUCAUAUGAGUGUCAUCUGAUGAAGAUUUUCAAAAGGUUAGUGAUUCAUUUUUAUCUCUCACCCUGCUUUUGUGACUCUAUCUUUGGCUGGGGAAAAUGGCUGUGUUUUAUUUUAUUUGGUGGUGGUCUAACAUAAAUAUAUGUUGUGUUUUCGCUGUAAAACAUUUAAAAAAUCGGACAUGAUGGGUAGAUGAACAACAUGUUUAUCUUUCAUUUGCUGUGUUGGAAUAUUUUUGAAUUCCCUGCGCCACCUUUUCAGCUGAAUUGGGGGGGGGUUCCCCUAGGGGAUCGCCUUGCCAUAACAGGUUUUAAGGGGAAGGGAUCUAAGAGAGAAGGGAAAAAUGGACAGGAUCAGACAAUAGAAAGUGUUUCAAUUGUGAUAAGACAGGACAUUUCACCAGGGAGUGUAAGGCUCCCUGUAAACAUUGUGACCGAGUAGGGCACAGCCACCGAAACUGCAAACAUAAGGGGAAGAACAGGCGCAACAACCGGGAGAGAAAGAGAGAGAUGGAGACAACGAGAGCAAGAGUAAUGAGAGUUGUCGCCUGAGUAACGCUUGGAUCUUUAAAGUAGGGCAAUUUCCUAGGAAUUGUCUCGGUAGUACGUUCCUGAUUUUAUUCACUACAGACAAUUAUAAAUGGGGUUAUUUGCGGGGAGUCUUCAUCAUUUCAAAAGCUUUGGUGGUUCAGUGGUAGAAUUCUCGCUUUCCACAUGGGAGGCCCGGGUUUGUUUCCCGACCUAUGCACCAAUUGACUAAAAUCUGUGUUUCUAAUUCUACUAUUGGUAUGUUUUGUCUGGAAAGAUACGGCCGCUAGUGUUUGUUUAAGAUAUAAACUGAAUGUUUUAAUAGCUUGUUUAGUUUAAAUUGAAAGACGAAUUCAUUCAAAAUAAUAGCGAGGCGAUUUCGAUUUAAAGUCAUUUGUAAUACUGAUUUUAAGGUCAUUUAAUUUGUGUAAUUGAUAAUUAUGAUGGAGAUUAAAGUUCUUAGACAUUUGGACCAAUGAGAAGAAAGAAAGGGCAUAGCCUUUGACUAAGGGGGUAGGCUUCCUUAAUAAGUCUAUUUUCCUAUGACCAUCAGGGUACAAUAAUUGGGUUUAUAAAAAAUAGUCAUAAGGUUAUUUUGAAACUCCCACUAUUUUGGCUUAAGUAAUGUUUAGUAACCUAGCUAUGUUUUAUUUUCCCUUAGGUAGUCGGCUGUUGUUGUAUGCAGAUGAUAUUUUUGUGAGAAAUUUAACACAACAAGGCUGUGAAAUUGAUAUAGUAUAAUUAUAUUUUGUUGUUGAAUAACUUUGUUGUUGAAUAAGGUUAUAAAGUUAGUAAGAAUAAGUUAGGUUAAGUAUUUAAGAUAUAUUUUAAGCCUGAAGGAGUAAGAAUAAAUGGGGAAAAGAUUUUGUCUGCUCCAUAGGUUCUAAAAACAGGAGAAGUCGGGAGGGCAGGCAUGUAUUCCAGUCCGUAUCUCCAGGUUAUGUUUAGUUAAUCUGUUGGGAAAAGAUGCAAUGACUCUGUUGAAUGUGGCCGUCACCCCCACAGAAAGCCCGAGGCCAUAAAAGAGAUUACUCCAACCUUUGAAGAUUUGGUAGAGGGGGGUGUAAUUAGAGAAGGAGAUGCACAGUGCAAUUCUCCAAUGUUCCCCGUAAAGAAAGCAGCCCCCAGUAAUGAUUGGAGAAUGGUAUUAGACUUACAAAGAGGGAUUCACAUGUUGUUUAAACAAUUGAAAAUAGAAAAUACCUAUUGUUCUGUCUACCAAUCUUACCAAAGACACUGUUGACAUAUGCAGCAAUAUUGACACGUGGGCAGAGCCACGAUUAUGGUAGCUAAAACAUUAGGUCCAGAUAUUAUCCCUAGAGUUGGUUUACUAGGAUCUAUUUCUUUAAACAAAGGUUGGCAUUUUAGCUAAUCAGGUAGACCAUAUAGAAUGCCAGAGUUAGGGAGACCAGAACGGACCGACAUAGAAAUUGAAGAUAUACUAGCAGAACGCAUGAGAAGACUGUUAGUAACCACACCCGUAUGUCAAAGAUUUUAUGCCCAACAGGAGAGUUGCAGAAGGAGAUAACACACAAGAUCCAACCAGGAGAAUGGGUCUGGGUCCAAUCCCUAAAGAAAAAAGACUGGAAACAGCCACGGUGGGACGGACCAUACCAACUGCUACCUAUCCAAUAUACAGCAAGAUCCUCUGGGUUGGGUUGGCACCCCCCUUGGGUUGUGCCGUGGCGGAGAUCUUUGGGCUAUACUUUGCCUUGUCUCAGGAUGAGGACACUAGGACCAUACCUCAGGACUACCUGGCAUGAUGACUCCUUACUGUCCCCAGUCCACCUGGCCGUGCUGCUGCUCCAGCUUCAACUGUUCUGCCUGCGGCUAUGGAACCCUGACCUGUUCACCGGACGUGCUACCUGUCCCAGACCUGCUGUUUUCAACUCUCUAGAGACAGCAGGAGCGGUAGAGAUACUCUCAAUGAUCGGCUGAAAAUCCAACUGACAUUUACUCCUGAGGUGCUGACUUGUUGCACCCUCGACAACUACUGUGAUUAUUAUUAUUUGACCAUGCUGGUGAUUUAUGAACAUUUGAACAUCUUGGCCAUGUUCUGUUAUAAUCUCCACCCGGCACAGCCAGAAGAGGACUGGCCACCCCUCAUAGCCUGGUUCCUCUCUAGGUUUCUUCCUAGGUUUUAGCCUUUCUAGGGAGUUUUUCCUAGCCACCGUGCUUCUACACCUGCAUUGCUUGCUGUUUGGGGUUUUAGGCUGGGUUUCUGUACAGCACUUUGAUGUAUCAGCUGAUGUAAGAAGGGCUAUAUAAAUACAUUUGAUUUGAUUUAGGCAGGCCCACAUUAUUUUAGCCAUGCAGGUCCCAUUUUGGAUGAGUGUAAAACACUCCAUAGUCUGCGUUGUCUUAAUAUUAUAUGAUGGUGCCUGUAAGUGUGACAUAGCCUAUUAAAAACAAGUAGUUGUUUUGUUUAGAAUUUGAUUAGAAUGACUUGUUCUCUUUUUAGGCCUUAUCAAUAAUGAAUUGAAUCUUGCUUAUUGACAGUGUUUGAAAUGUUCAUGCUCAUCCAUAAUGUACUUUACAGUAGGCCUAGCCCGAUAUCAGUGCGAAUGCUAUUGGAGCCAUGCAAUAACUUAGAACAAUGUGGACUGCAGAUGGGUUCAAGUGAACCUAUUUAGCAAAGACGGGAUAGGUCUACAUUUUGUUAUUUCGUUUCUGUAAGCCAUUUAACAAACUAUAACGGACUAUAUCAUUGGAAUUGGAGUUGUUUCCAAAGCAAUACAUACAAGACCGUAUAUACACCAUGGAGCACGUUCUGAUUGGCCAGUGAGGGGCUAAGCUUCGACACCCACAACUUGUUAAUUCAUCAAAACUCAGCCCUUUUGCACCAAUGCCAGAAUGUGCGCCAAUUGUGAUAGUGAAAAUAUAACAAAUAUUUCUGACACACCACUGAACCUAUAGCUCUACCGCCUGUUCUUAGAUUUAUCAUUGCGUUAAGUUUUAUUACAAUAGAGCCCUUAGGGUCAGACUGUUAAUUAUUUCAUAAAGCUGACUGCCAAUCUUUGUCAGACCUUGUGUUGGAGGAGAAAAAGUAUGAUGAGUCCCUCACUAUAUAUAUAUAUAUAUGAGUGUAUGAAACAAUAGGAACACCUUCCUAAUAUUGAGUUGCACCCCCUUUUGCACUCAGAACAGGCUCAAUUCGUUGGGGCCUGGACUCUAUACAUGAAGAUAGGAGAGGAGUCUGUUCCACUCUGCCAUCAUGACAUCCAUCCCCAUCACUUUAUUGUCCAUGUGCACCCCAGCAAGAAUGGAAUCAUGAUAUUUGCAAAAGCCCUGAAAGACAGAGAAAGAGAAAGAGAGAACCACCUCCAAUAACUACAAGGCCAGAGACUGCCCAGCCUGGAGCCCCAGGGCCAUUCCACAGCACACAAGGAGCUAAAAGCUGCAUGUAGCCCACGACACCCCUGGUCCCAGGCUACAUUCUGUCCCUGGUUUUCAUGUACCCCCCCCCCCAAAUAGUUUUGACAGUGAAUAUAUGAAUGUAACACACAUGUAUUGUUAUUUUCCUUUAACAACAAUGGCCACAGAAACAGGAUAUGGAACAGGCUCUCUGGCCACUGGAAAAGGUUCUGGCUGAGGUCCGCUAGCGUCAGGGGUUCUGGCCCACUGGCUGCUGAAGAUUCUGGGGGAGGUCUACUCGCCUCUGUAUGUACUAGCUCACUGGCCAUCGCGGAAGGUUCUGGAGGACCACUAGCUUUCCAAGGUUAGGGUACGUAGGGUAACCUGGGAAAGAAGUCUGGUUGCCCCCUGGGAAUGGGCCUGGCUGGCUGCAUGGGCUGCUGCAGACCUGAAAGACUGGACGUGAGUAAGGAUCGUGGAUUGGAGGGAAGAGGUCCCUGAAGCAAUAACAGUUGGUUGUAUUCAUUAAUGUCAUAUUGGGUGGAAGCUACUAAAGUUUUAAGGAAGUAUUCUUUAAUGUAAAGUACAUUUAAAUUUAUAACAAUAAUAGCCGGUGUCAAAAAAUGUAAGGAAUUGCCGUAGAUCGUACAGUCAUGUCCUCCCAAUCAAUAACAGUCAUAUGGGGUGGACGGUAUUUAAGUUUUUAGCAAGUUUUUUAAUAUAUUUUUUUACAUAUACUAAAAUUAAUUUAAAAUAGCCAAAGUAAAAACAUUUUUAAAAAGUAAUUGCCGUAGAUGGGAGGGAAGAGGUCCCUAAACCAAUAACAAUUGGUUGUUUUCAUGCAAGUGAUAUACGGUAGAAGCUAUUGCUGUAUUAAGGAAGUGUAUUUGGCAUAUUCUGAUAUUAAAUUAAUUGAAAAUAGCCAAAGUUCAAAAAUACAACUGUCAUUUCCAUAGAUUGUACAGACGAAGUCCCUGAAUCAAUAACAAUUGGUUGUAGUAUUCAUGCAAGCUAUAUGGGGUUGAAGCUAUAUAUGUUUUAAGGAAUUAUUGUUUUUAACAAAUUAAAACAUUUUAUUAAUUGGAAACAGCCAAAGUAAAAAAAAUAAAGAAGCAUUUGUAAUAUUUCUAAGUCAUGUGGUAAGAAAUCUAUUGAAGUCUUUCUGUUAGCAUUAGGUUUCAAUUGCCCUUUUAAGACGGUCCCUUAGCUGUGACUACACUUAGAAAUUUGUAUUUUAUUUUUAUUUUUUAUUUUUUUUACAUAUGAUAUUAAAUUAAUUGGAUGGGAGAGUAGAGGUCCCUGAAUGUAUUUCAGUUGGGUUGAGUUCUCUUUCAUUUGGUUACAAAGCUAUUUAAGUUUUUCAGUUAACACUACAUUUUAAUUGCACUUUAAGCAGUGGCGUGUAUUCAUGGAUGCCAAGGGAAGCCAGGCUUCCCCCCCCAAAAUUGACCAAACAUUAAUUUAAAAAAUGGACAAUGGCAAUAACAUCCGCUAAAUAUGUGUAUGUGACCAACGUUUUUAUUUUUUUAUUUUAUGCAAUAUGCUUUGUGGACUUCACUGGACAGAGGUUGCUAUCUGGUUUUGUGAUUUAAAAAAAAGUGUGGUUGAAUUUAUUCUGUCACUGUCUUAUUGUCUCGGCCUUUAGGCCUAUAUAUCACGGUCGCAAGGCCGAUUAAGUAACCGGUUAUAGAGCAAACAAGCAAUUAUCACAACACAGGUUGUACUUUUUUGCAGGGAGGGGGGUUUAUCCUCGCACUACUACUGCUUUUAAGACAGUCCCUUAGCUGUGACUACACGGAUAAUCAGCCAUAGAAAUGUACAUAAAAUAUUUUUGGGGAAAACAGAACGGAACAGAAUACUCAAUAGUGUUGCUGUGGACACUGGAUACUCUGACUAACACACACACCUGUUUGACCUUGCUGUGAUACCUUAGGCCUACUUAUGUUACUUUUCUGAGUCAAUUCAGGUAGCAUUCAAUAUCCUGCAUGCAUUUUUGUUAAACCAUGGCAACCAGCAUUGCAAAUGAAGAGAUGUGCAUAAAUAUAAUCAUCCUCUGUCUGUAGAUCCUUUCCCCUUAAUGUAUUUGUCAUGUCAGCCAGGCCAAUCUUUUCAAAGUAACAAUAUCUAGUUGAGUAAAAUAAGGAGUCUAUUGCUUCAUUCCUUGUUUCGUUUUUACUUGUUACCUGGUAAAUAACCAACAACCAUCGUGAGGAAACAGUCCAUGUAAGGUGAGGAAACAGUCCAUGUAAGGUGAGGAAACAGUCCAUGUAAGGUGAGGAAACAGUCCAUGUAAG